AACGCACGAGACCUGCGGACCUGCGGAAGGAUCAUUAAUGAGAAACUGCCCCUCGCGGGUAGAUCUCCCACCCUCUGUAAACUUACCUUUGUUGCUUUGGCAGGCCCGUCUCCGGACCGCCGGCUUCGGCUGGCCAGUGCCUGCCAGAGGAUUCUAAAACUCUGUCUGUCAGUGUUGUCUGAGUCUAUAUACAAUCGUUAAAACUUUUAACAACGGAUCUCUAGAUCGGAAGAGCACACG
rnacentral:misc_RNA from 1 species